CGUGGGAAUAAACUUGAUGAAUACAUCUUGAAAAUGGCUUUGGGGAUAAUGACAGUAUAUGGAUGUGAUUGGACGGAGGAGCAGAUAUAUAAAGUGUUUGAGGACCUAC